GAUGAACGCUGGCGGCGUGCCUAAUACAUGCAAGUCGAGCGAACGGACGAGAAGCUUGCUUCUCUGAUGUUAGCGGCGGACGGGUGAGUAACACGUGGAUAACCUACCUAUAAGACUGGGAUAACUUCGGGAAACCGGAGCUAAUACCGGAUAAUAUUUUGAACCGCAUGGUUCAAAAGUGAAAGACGGUCUUGCUGUCACUUAUAGAUGGAUCCGCGCUGCAUUAGCUAGUUGGUAAGGUAACGGCCUACCAAGGCAACGAUGCAUAGCCGACCUGAGAGGGUGAUCGGCCACACUGGAACUGAGACACGGUCCAGACUCCUACGGGAGGCAGCAGCAGGGAAUCUUCCGCAAUGGGCGAAAGCCUGACGGAGCAACGCCGCGUGAGUGAUGAAGGUCUUCGGAUCGUAAAACUCUGUUAUUAGGGAAGAACAUAUGUGUAAGUAACUGUGCACAUCUUGACGGUACCUAAUCAGAAAGCCACGGCUAACUACGUG
rnacentral:rRNA from 1 species